UAGUACCUGAAACCGUUGGUCUACAAACAGUCAAAGCAGACUUGUUCUGCGAUGGCGUGCCUUUUGAAGAAUGAGCCAACGAGUUACGGUGUGUGGCAAGGUUAACCCGAUGAGGGGAAGCCGGAGCGAAAGCGAGUCUGAACAGGGCGUUCAGUCGCAUGCCGUAGACCCGAAGCCGAGUGAGCUAUCCAUGGGCAGUGUGAAGCGGAGGUAAGACUCUGUGGAGGCGCGAACCGACUUCAGUUGAAAAUGGAGCGGAUGACCUGUGGAUAGGGGUGAAAGGCCAAUCAAACUCGGUGAUAGCUGGUUCUCCGCGAAAUGCAUUUAGGUGCAGCGUCGUGCGUUCAACGAUGGGGGUAGAGCACUGAAUGGGCUAGGGGUCCUACAAGACUACCGACCCCAAUCAAACUCCGAAUACCAUCGUUCCAGAGCACGGCAGUGAGACCUCGGGGGAUGAGCUUCGAGGUCGAGAGGGAAACAGCCCAGACCGCCGGCUAAGGUCCCAAAAUCUGAACUAAGUGGUAAACGAUGUGAGAUUGCGAAGACAGCCAGGAGGUUGGCUUGGAAGCAGCCAUCCUUGAAAGAGUGCGUAACAGCUCACUGGUCGAGUGAUCUUGCGCGGACAAUGUAACGGGGCUCAAGUUCAGUACCGAAGCCGCGGAUGCGACUCUUUGAGUCGUGUGGUAGCGGAGCGUCGAGCGUGCAGCGAAGCGGCGGGACAACCCAGCCGUGGAGCGCGUUCGAGUGCGAAUGUUGGCAUGAGUAGCGAAUGAGGGGUGAGAACCCCCUCCGCCGUAUGUCCAAGGGUUCCUGGGCGAGGCCAAUCCUCCCAGGGUGAGUCGGGAGCUAAGGCGAGGUCGAGAGGCGUAGUCGAUGCACAACUGGUUGAUAUUCCAGUACCACCAUGUUCGCGUCCGUCCCAAUACUCUGUUGCUAAGGGGCUGUGUUGACUUCGGUCAACGCGAACCGACCCACAUUGUUGCGGGAAGCUGUAGGGGGACGCAGGAAGGUAGAUGAACCCGGUGAAUGGUAGAACCGGGGUAAGCGUGUAGGAGGAGGACCAGGUAAAUCCGGGCCUCAUAAACUCUGAGACGUGAUACCGAGCCGCUUCAGGCGAAGUCAUUGAUCCUAUGCUGCCCAGAAAAGCCCAGCAGCGAGUUGACAUGGUGCCCGUACCCCAAACCUACACAGGUGGACAGGUAGAGCAUACCAAGGCGAGUGGGAUAACUAUGGUUAAGGAACUCGGCAAAUUGCCUCCGUAACUUCGGGAGAAGGAGGACCCCAGUAGCGUGAUGAGACUUGCUCUCUGAGCGUGAAGGGGUGGCACAAAAUUGAGGGAAGCGACUGUUUACCAAAAACACAGCAGCGUGCUAAGCCGUAAGGCGCUGUAUACGCUGUGACUCCUGCCCGGUGCUGGAAGGUUACGGGGAUGGGUUAGUCCUUCGGGACGAAGCUCUGAACCUAAGCCCCAGUAAACGGCGGCCGUAACUAUAACGGUCCUAAGGUAGCGAAAUUCCUUGUCGGGUAAGUUCCGACCUGCACGAAUGGAGUAACGACUUCCCUACUGUCUCAACCAUAGACCCAGCGAAAUUGAAGUACGAGUAAAGAUGCUCGUUAGCUGCAGAAGGACGGAAAGACCCCGUGGACCUUUACUAUAACUUGAUGUUGUGUUCU
rnacentral:rRNA from 1 species